AUUGAACGCUGGCGGCAGGCCUAACACAUGCAAGUCGAGCGGUAGCACAGAGAGCUUGCUCUCGGGUGACGAGCGGCGGACGGGUGAGUAAUGUCUGGGAGACUGCCUGAUGGAGGGGGAUAACUACUGGAAACGGUAGCUAAUACCGCAUAACGUCGCAAGACCAAAGUGGGGGACCUUCGGGCCUCAUGCCAUCAGAUGUGCCCAGAUGGGAUUAGCUAGUAGGUGGGGUAACGGCUCACCUAGGCGACGAUCCCUAGCUGGUCUGAGAGGAUGACCAGCCACACUGGAACUGAGACACGGUCCAGACUCCUACGGGAGGCAGCAGUGGGGAAUAUUGCACAAUGGGCGCAAGCCUGAUGCAGCCAUGCCGCGUGUAUGAAGAAGGCCUUCGGGUUGUAAAGUACUUUCAGCGGGGAGGAAGGCGAUAAGGUUAAUAACCUUGUCGAUUGACGUUACCCGCAGAAGAAGCACCGGCUAACUCCGUGCCAGCCGCCGCGGUAAGAC
rnacentral:rRNA from 1 species